CAGCCCCACAUCAGACCACCCUUCUCUCCUCCAGGUCCAUCUCCCUUCAGCAGCCCCACAUCAGACCACCCUUCAGUCCUCCAGGUCCAUCUCCCUUCAGCAGCCCCACAUCAGACCACCCUUCAGUCCUCCAGGUCCAUCUCCCUUCAGCAGCCCCACAUCAGACCACCCUUCAGUCCUCCAGGUCCAUCUCCCUUCAGCAGCCCCACAUCAGACUACCCUUCUCUCCUCCAGGUCCAUCUCCCUUCAGCAGCCCCACAUCAGACCACCCUUCAGUCCUCCAGGUCCAUCUCCCUUCAGCAGCCCCACAUCAGACUACCCUUCUCUCCUCCAGGUCCGUCUCCCUUCAGCAGCCCCACAUCAGACCACCCUUCACUCCUC
rnacentral:lncRNA from 1 species